GGUGGCUCAGUGGUAGAGUGCUUGCCUCACAUGCAUGGAGGCCUGAGUUCCAUUCCUCAGCACCA
rnacentral:tRNA from 1 species